rnacentral:lncRNA from 1 species
AUCUUGACGUUGUUCCCCUUUAGGAAGGUGAUGUCUUGUUCGCUUGUGGCAUCCCAGCCGAUGGAAUUGGAGAUGUUGGUCGUCAUGGUUUAUUUGGGAAGCUUCUCAAUGCUAGGCGAGUUUUGUCGUGUCGUUUCCUCUGUUUGGUCCCAGCAUUCCAUGUCUCUCUGCUAUGCGCAUUAUGUCUACGUCUUCUUGCAUUCGUGUCAUGUGUUGUAUCAUAUUUUGGUCUUGCUUUUUCUUCUUCUAUCAAUGAAAAUAUACACAAAAUUUGCGUACUCAUGAAAAAAAGUUGCUAAGACACUUCCAAGAAGAAAGCAGAGGUUGCAUCUGCCUCUUCCUUUUAUAAAGAUCAUCAUCAUGGUGACAUGAAUCAUCUGAAAUGCUAGAAAUGACUUCGUUUUCCAAGGUCUACAGCCAAAUCUGUACAUACGCCGGUGGAGAUUUAAAGUGGAAAUGAAAUAGCUGGUUUCUGAUCUAGAAGGAAAACAUACAAAGGGCUGCAAGAGGCUUUCUUCUGACUUAUUGUAGAGAGCUUGUGACCUUGUAUUAAUUUCUUUUAUGUUCUUAUGUUUUCCUGUACGUCUUUUUAACCAAAUAUAGGUAGAUAUACGAGGGACAUGUGGCCUAUAAGGCCAGUCCUUCCAAUAAUAUAACCACCUAUUUGGGACUUGGCUACCUAGAGUAAAGUCUAAAACUGCGGCACAUAUUUAAGUCAGAGUGUGUGCAUUACUUUGAGCUUAUAUUGAACUGUUGAAAUGAUGUGAUUUUUAACACACAAAUUAUUACAUUAUUUUUCAGGUCAUCUACAGAGCAACUGCUUGAAUCCGUAUGUGACCCUUACUCGGCCAUGCCUGAGUCAAGAAGCAUAUGGCUAUUGGAUGCAACCGUUAGGAGACGGUUGCACGAGAUACUUAC